rnacentral:rRNA from 1 species
UGGGGAAUAUUGCACAAUGGGCGCAAGCCUGAUGCAGCCAUGCCGCGUGUGUGAAGAAGGCCUUCGGGUUGUAAAGCACUUUCAGCGAGGAGGAAGGUGGUGAACUUAAUACGUUCAUCAAUUGACGUUACUCGCAGAAGAAGCACCGGCUAACUCCGUGCCAGCAGCCGCGGUAAUACGGAGGGUGCAAGCGUUAAUCGGAAUUACUGGGCGUAAAGCGCACGCAGGCGGUUUGUUAAGUCAGAUGUGAAAUCCCCGGGCUCAACCUGGGAACUGCAUUUGAAACUGGCAAGCUAGAGUCUCGUAGAGGGGGGUAGAAUUCCAGGUGUAGCGGUGAAAUGCGUAGAGAUCUGGAGGAAUACCGGUGGCGAAGGCGGCCCCCUGGACGAAGACUGACGCUCAGGUGCGAAAAGCGUGGGGAGCAAAACAGGAUUAGAUACCCUGGUAGUCCACGCUGUAAAACGAUGUCGAUUUUGGAGGUUGUGCCCUUGAGGCGUGGCUUCCGGAGCUAACGCGUU